rfam:Citrus clementina cultivar Clemenules unplaced genomic scaffold scaffold_5, whole genome shotgun sequence.
AUACCAUGAUGAGGACACCUUUUGAGUAGUUCUUUAAAUCUCUCUCAAGCCUUAUAUAAACUCUCAUCUUCCAGUUGAUGAAAGGAAGUGAUCUCAGUCCUCAAUUU